rnacentral:lncRNA from 1 species
GGGACACGUUCAAAAAUUCAGCAACUCGUCUAUAUAACAUUCAAUCAAAAUUUUAUCCGUAUUUUUUCUCUCUUCUUCUUCUCUAUUGAUUCAUCUUAUUUUCUUUUUUUAUAACAAUUUUCUAUCAUUCUUUCUUCAAAAGUAUAAGUUGAAGAUUCUAUCAAAUUAUACUUCUAUUUUAUAAUUUGAUUUUUCACAAGGGAAUGGAAAGUCACAGUUUUGUUUCACAAAGUACAACUGUCACAGAC